rnacentral:misc_RNA from 1 species
GUUCCAGGAUGCGGGCAUCGUAUAAUGGCUAUUACCUCAGCCUACUAAGCUGAUGAUGCGGGUUCGAUUCCCGCUGCCCGCUCCAAGAUGUGCUGAUAUAGCUCAGUUGGUAGAGCGCACCCUUGGUAAGGGUGAGGUCGGCAGUUCGAAUCUGCCUAUCAGCACCACUU